GGCUUACUCCACAAUUAAUGGGGAUCUCCAGCUUACUCCACAAUUAAUGCGCAUGGCUCCUGUCAUCUACGGACUCUCAGCUCUCCACGGCAAGCUAGCCCAGUAAAGUCCAAUCGACUAUGAUAAUCGACUAUGAUAAGUCUCUGAUCUCGGCCUUACCUCCGACACCAAUGCAAUAAUUUGCCUGGUAGCGUGCUAGUUCGGGUCGUACGACGCCCUUAUCGCCGACAUCAGCGCAAUGAUUCGCCUGCUCGUGCGCCGACCUGAACCACAUGCCGAGCCGUACUAUGGCCUCGCCCCGUUACAUCACAGGUAAACCGACCCCCGCUUAUAAAAGGGAGCCUUGGCUUCUCAGGUGGGGGG
rnacentral:lncRNA from 1 species